UACGGGGGGUGCAAGCGUUGUUCGGAUUUAUUGGGCGUAAAGCGCGUGUAGGCGGUUUGUUAAGUCUGUUGUGAAAGCCCUGGGCUCAACCCGGGAAGUGCACUGGAUACUGGCAGACUUGAAUACGGGAGAGGAGAGUGGAAUUCCUGGUGUAGGAGUGAAAUCCGUAGAUAUCAGGAGGAACACCGGUGGCGAAGGCGGCUCUCUGGACCGAUAUUGACGCUGAGGCGCGAAAGCGUGGGGAGCAAACAGG
rnacentral:rRNA from 1 species